rnacentral:rRNA from 1 species
UAAGCGGAGGAAAAGAAACCAACAGGGAUUGCCCUAGUAACGGCGAGUGAAGCGGCAACAGCUCAAAUUUGAAAUCUGGCUCUUUCAGAGUCCGAGUUGUAAUUUGCAGAGGGCGCUUUGGCUUUGGCAGCGGUCCAAGUUCCUUGGAACAGGACGUCACAGAGGGUGAGAAUCCCGUACGUGGUCGCUAGCUAUUGCCGUGUAAAGCCCCUUCGACGAGUCGAGUUGUUUGGGAAUGCAGCUCUAAAUGGGAGGUAAAUUUCUUCUAAAGCUAAAUAUUGGCCAGAGACCGAUAGCGCACAAGUAGAGUGAUCGAAAGAUGAAAAGCACUUUGGAAAGAGAGUCAAACAGCACGUGAAAUUGUUGAAAGGGAAGCGCUUGCAGCCAGACUUGCUUGCAGUUGCUCAUCCGGGCUUUUGCCCGGUGCACUCUUCUGUAGGCAGGCCAGCAUCAGUUUGGGCGGUGGGAUAAAGGUCUCUGUCACGUACCUCUCUUCGGGGAGGCCUUAUAGGGGAGACGACAUACCACCAGCCUAGACUGAGGUCCGCGCAUCUGCUAGGAUGCUGGCGUAAUGGCUGUAAGCGGCCCGUCUUGAAACACGGACCAAGGAGUCUAACAUCUAUGCGAGUGUUUGGGUGUCAAGCCCGAGCGCGUAAUGAAAGUGAACGGAGGUGGGAACCCGCAAGGGUGCACCAUCGACCGAUCCUGAAGUUUACGGAAGGAUUUGAGUAAGAGCAUGGCUGUUGGGACCCGAAAGAUGGUGAACUAUGCUUGAAUAGGGUGAAGCCAGAGGAAACUCUGGUGGAGGCUCGCAGCGGUUCUGACGUGCAAAUCGAUCGUCAAAUUUGGGCAUAGGGGCGAAA